GCGAAAUAGCUCAGUUGGGAGAGCGUUAGACUAUAAAAGGUCCCUGGUUCCAUCCCGGGAUUCGGCA
rnacentral:tRNA from 1 species